UCCGAUCACGAGGUGGGCAUUCAGAGGC
rnacentral:sRNA from 1 species